rnacentral:rRNA from 1 species
GGUAUAUGCUUGUCUCAAAGACUAAGCCAUGCAAGUGCCUGUAUGAGUGUUUAUACAACGAAACUGCGAAUGGCUCGGUAAAACAGCAAUAAUUUAUUCGGGGGUAAUUGCUACUUGGAUAACCGUAGUAAAGCUAGAGCUAAUACGUGCUACAACGGCGAGACUSGCUCUCGUGGUACUAAGUAUUAGGUACAACCCAAUUUUAUUGGUGAUUCAUACUUAUCUUCUGAUCGCACUCUGUGCGACGCCCCGAACAAAUUUCUGACCUAUCAACUUCGAUGGUAAGGUAGUGUCUUACCAUGGUUGUGACGGGUAACGGACCGUGGGUGCGGGAUUCCGGAGAGGGAGCCUGAGAAACGGCAACCACAUCCAAGGAAGGCAGCAGGCGCGCAACUUACCAAUCCGAACUUCGGGAGGUAGUGACAAAAAAUAUCAAUAGGGGGGCCGAUGGUCUUCCUAAUUGGAAUGAAAACAAUCUAAAUACCUUAUUAAGGAACCAGCAGAGGGCAAGUCUGGUGCCAGCAGCCGCGGUAAUUCCAGCUCUGUAAGCGUAUACCAAAGUUGUUGCAGUUAAAACGCUCGUAGUCGAACCUUGGCGUGGGUUAUGGAGGCUCCUAAUGGACGUCGAAGUACUCCGCCUUUGUGGAGGGGGGUGUGGUGUACUUAUGUAUGCCGCAUUCCGCCACUGUUUACUGUGAAAAUAGAGGUGUUCAAGCGAGCGCUGCAUGAAUACAUAGCAUGGAAUAAUAGAAUAGGACUGGUCUGUUUUAUUGGUUUGUCU